rnacentral:rRNA from 1 species
GAUGAACGCUAGCGGCAGGCCUAAUACAUGCAAGCUGAACGGCAAGAUUUGUAGCAAUACGAGUCCUAGAGUAGCGUAAGGGUGCGUAACACGUAUGCAAUCUGCCCGCAACAGGAGGAUAGCUUAGCGAAAGUUGAGAUAAGACUCCAUAAGAUCACGAGAGGGCAUCUGAUUGUGAUUAAACUACAAGGGGUUGCGGAUGAGCANGCGUCUGAUUAGUUAGUUGGCGGGGUAACGGCCCACCAAGACGAUGAUCAGUA